UACGGAGGGGGCUAGCGUUGUUCGGAAUUACUGGGCGUAAAGCGCGCGUAGGCGGCUUUGUAAGUUAGAGGUGAAAGCCCGGAGCUUAACUCCGGAACUGCCUUUGAGACUGCAUCGCUAGAAUUGUGGAGAGGUGAGUGGAAUUCCGAGUGUAGAGGCGAAAUUCGUAGAUAUUCGGAAGAACACCAGUGGCGAAGGCGACUCACUGGACAAAUAUUGACGCUGAGGUGCGAAAGCGUGGGGAGCAAACAGG
rnacentral:rRNA from 1 species